ACGACUCUCGGCAACGGAUAUCUCGGCUCUCGCAUCGAUGAAGAACGUAGCGAAAUGCGAUACUUGGUGUGAAUUGCAGAAUCCCGCGAACCAUCGAGUCUUUGAACGCAAGUUGCGCCCGAAGCCUUCCGGCCGAGGGCACGUCUGCCUGGGCGUCACGC
rnacentral:rRNA from 1 species